CUUGGUUUUCAAUAUUUCUUCAAGAUUGAGAUUUGAGCUUAGUUUGAGAUUUGGUGUUGGAGGAGAAGGGAUUGAGCAAGGGUUUGAAGAAUUGACUAAGGUUAUUUGAACUUGGAGAAGUCGUUGCUAGAGUUGUGGUGAAGCUUUUGCUCAAGCGAGGUGAUAUAGGUACUAGCGCUAGUGCUCCGACUACGGAUCAGCAGGGAGGAGCGUGACGCGGAUGGCCUGGACUUGUGGUGAUUUGUUGUUUAUUUUGUGUGGUCUUUGAUUAGUCUUAGGCUUAAUGGUAUAUUGGGAUAUAUACGAAAUGUGUGGGAUGAAUGAUGAUUUUGGAUGGUUAGGCUUGAUGCCUGGGUAUGUAUGUGUGUAUGAUGAAUUAUGUUUGAUAUGAUAUGGCCGGAGGCCCUGGAUAUUUAGUUUGGUGUUAUGGGAAUUGUGUGUUUUAAAUUGUUAUGUUUUAUGCAGGAGGCAUUCUCCGAUAUACGGGGAGGUGCUGCCGAAUUUUUGUUU